AGCCUCUUGGACCCAGCCAAUUGCUCUGUUUUCGAAAAGCUUUCGAAACCUUGCCAUUGGCAGAAAUAAAGAAAAAAAAAAAAGAAAAAUCUUUCUCCUAGGUCCUUGCCUCUUUCCUCACUCAUCAUUCUAUAUGCAUCUUUCUCAAACCCGUGUGCUUGGUGGAUGAGGACAAUCUUCUCCAGGGAAAAGGCAACUCCAUACUACCUCCCUGCUUACUGAUGCGAUCCCGGUUUGCCAGCUUGGAGGAAGGAUGCUCCAGCCUGAAGGCAGAAUGGUACGCUCUGGGAUACUACUUCUCUUCCCGGGCCUCUGAGGAAAUUUAACAAGAUCGAUGAAAUGUGAUUCAGAUGAACAUUGAGAGAAGACUUGAAAGGAACACAAAGGAAAUCUUUCCACACAGG